rnacentral:rRNA from 1 species
AUUGAACGCUGGCGGCAGGCCUAACACAUGCAAGUCGAACGGUAACAGGAAACAGCUUGCUGUUUCGCUGACGAGUGGCGGACGGGUGAGUAAUGUCUGGGAAACUGCCUGAUGGAGGGGGAUAACUACUGGAAACGGUAGCUAAUACCGCAUAACGUCGCAAGACCAAAGAGGGGGACCUUCGGGCCUCUUGCCAUCGGAUGUGCCCAGAUGGGAUUAGCUCGUUGGUAGGGUAACGGCUCACCAAGGCGACGAUCCCUAGCUGGUCUGAGAGGAUGACCAGCCACACUGGAACUGAGACACGGUCCAGACUCCUACGGGAGGAAGCAGUGGGGAAUAUUGCACAAUGGGCGCAAGCCUGAUGCAGCCAUGCCGCGUGUAUGAAGAAGGCCUUCGGGUUGUAAAGUACUUUCAGCGGGGAGGAAGGGAGUAAAGUUAAUACCUUUACUCAUUGACGUUACCCGCAGAAGAAGCACCGGCUAACUCCGUGCCAGCCGCCGCGGUAA